CAAAAGUUAGAAGAGCUUCACAAUUCCAUCGUGACAGCAUGCCCUAAUUCAGAACUACGAACGAUCCAUGACGAUCCUUCGCGAUGCAGUGGUCUCAUGAAAUAAGGAAACGUAUUCGUGCUAGGAACACACGCGAAUUUCGGACGAAUAAAUUAAAUCUUGCUUGUAUUUUGUAGAUAUAAUAAUACAUUGUUUCAUAAUAAACAAUUUGUCAAGUGUCAUUUAUUUACUGGUAAUAGUGCAUGUUUCAGUCGGGAAAAUCUUAAUUAAUAUUUGAUACGCCGAUUUUUGCAUAUUUCAGACACAUCCAGAAAUAUGCUCCCGAUUUUAAAGAUUAAUAUCUCCGUGAAUUUUUGAGUGAAAUACAACUGUAAUAAUAUAUCAAAAUCUAAGUUAGUCCUUCCUCUAUUUGAUGC
rnacentral:lncRNA from 1 species